ensembl:lncRNA
CUUUGUUGAUCUUUUGCUUCCAUUUCUCUUUCUGACUGUUUAACUCAGUGCUGUUCUCUGUGUGUUCCUGCUGUGCUUUCAGCCGCCUUUCGCUUUCCCUUUCUUCCUUGGGCUGCCUUUCGCUUAUUGUUGUUCGUUCUAAAAGUCUCUCUGUAUUUUCUCCUCUUUUCCAGUGGUUUUUCUGUGCUCUGCCUUCAGUUUCCUAUUUGUUUUGUAAUUGCAUUCUUCUUUGCCUUCUUUUCCUUGCUGGUAUCCUUGUCCCCUUGCCUGUCUCCUUCCUCUAGCCUUGCCCUUACUUGCUUUGCUUUGCUCUGCCUUUUAAUUCUAAUUUGGUUUUCUGUACUGCUCGUUUUGCUUCGCUUUCCAUUGUUCAUUUCCUUAAUGUGGCUUUCUUCCUUCCAGUUCAUUUCUUUGCAUUCCUUUUUUUCCUUCCCCUUUCUCUUCUUAUCGAAUGACUUAUCGUUAGUUUCCUUUCCUUUUCAGUCCCUUUUCUUUCAUUUCUUUUUAUUGUUUUUCUGGUGCUUUGCUUUGCUCUUUGAAUUUCUGUACUGCUCGUUUUGCUUCGCUUUCCAUUGUUCAUUUC